rnacentral:rRNA from 1 species
AGUCGAGCGGACAGAUGGGAGCUUGCUCCCUGAUGUUAGCGGCGGACGGGUGAGUAACACGUGGGUAACCUGCCUGUAAGACUGGGAUAACUCCGGGAAACCGGGGCUAAUACCGGAUGCUUGUUUGAACCGCAUGGUUCAAACAUAAAAGGUGGCUUCGGCUACCACUUACAGAUGGACCCGCGGCGCAUUAGCUAGUUGGUGAGGUAAUGGCUCACCAAGGCGACGAUGCGUAGCCGACCUGAGAGGGUGAUCGGCCACACUGGGACUGAGACACGGCCCAGACUCCUACGGGAGGCAGCAGUAGGGAAUCUUCCGCAAUGGACGAAAGUCUGACGGAGCAACGCCGCGUGAGUGAUGAAGGUUUUCGGAUCGUAAAGCUCUGUUGUUAGGGAAGAACAAGUACCGUUCGAAUAGGGCGGUACCUUGACGGUACCUAACCAGAAAGCCACGGCUAACUACGUGCCAGCAGCCGCGGUAAUACGUAGGUGGCAAGCGUUGUCCGGAAUUAUUGGGCGUAAAGGGCUCGCAGGCGGUUUCUUAAGUCUGAUGUGAAAGCCCCCGGCUCAACCGGGGAGGGUCAUUGGAAACUGGGGAACUUGAGUGCAGAAGAGGAGAGUGGAAUUCCACGUGUAGCGGUGAAAUGCGUAGAGAUGUGGAGGAACACCAGUGGCGAAGGCGACUCUCUGGUCUGUAACUGACGCUGAGGAGCGAAAGCGUGGGGAGCGAACAGGAUUAGAUACCCUGGUAGUCCACGCCGUAAACGAUGAGUGCUAAGUGUUAGGGGGUUUCCGCCCCUUAGUGCUGCAGCUAACGCAUUAAGCACUCCGCCUGGGGAGUACGGUCGCAAGACUGAACUCAAGGGAUUGACGGGGGCCCGCACAAGCGGUGGAGCAUGUGGUUUAAUUCGAAGCAACGCGAAGACCUUACCAGGUCUUGACAUCCUCUGACAUCCUAGAGAUAGACGUCCCCUU